AUGCUGGAGGUAUCAGAAGUGCGAAUGCUGACAUAAGUAACGAUAAAGCGGGUGAAAAGCCCGCUCGCCGGAAGACCAAGGGUUCCUGUCCAACGUUAAUCGGGGCAGGGUGAGUCGACCCCUAAGGCGAGGCCGAAAGGCGUAGUCGAUGGGAAACAGGUUAAUAUUCCUGUACUUGGUGUUACUGCGAAGGGGGGACGGAGAAGGCUAUGUUGGCCGGGCGACGGUUGUCCCGGUUUAAGCGUGUAGGCUGGUUUUCCAGGCAAAUCCGGAAAAUCAAGGCUGAGGCGUGAUGACGAGGCACUACGGUGCUGAAGCAACAAAUGCCCUGCUUCCAGGAAAAGCCUCUAAGCAUCAGGUAACAUCAAAUCGUACCCCAAACCGACACAGGUGGUCAGGUAGAGAAUACCAAGGCGCUUGAGAGAACUCGGGUGAAGGAACUAGGCAAAAUGGUGCCGUAACUUCGGGAGAAGGCACGCUGAUAUGUAGGUGAAGCGACUUGCUCGUGGAGCUGAAAUCAGUCGAAGAUACCAGCUGGCUGCAACUGUUUAUUAAAAACACAGCACUGUGCAAACACGAAAGUGGACGUAUACGGUGUGACGCCUGCCCGGUGCCGGAAGGUUAAUUGAUGGGGUCAGCGCAAGCGAAGCUCUUGAUCGAAGCCCCGGUAAACGGCGGCCGUAACUAUAACGGUCCUAAGGUAGCGAAAUUCCUUGUCGGGUAAGUUCCGACCUGCACGAAUGGCGUAAUGAUGGCCAGGCUGUCUCCACCCGAGACUCAGUGAAAUUGAACUCGCUGUGAAGAUGCAGUGUACCCGCGGCAAGACGGAAAGACCCCGUGAACCUUUACUAUAGCUUGACACUGAACAUUGAGCCUUGAUGUGUAGGAUAGGUGGGAGGCUUAGAAGUGUGGACGCCAGUCUGCAUGGAGCCGACCUUGAAAUACCACCCUUUAAUGUUUGAUGUUCUAACGUUGACCCGUGAUCCGGGUUGCGGACAGUGUCUGGUGGGUAGUUUGACUGGGGCGGUCUCCUCCUAAAGAGUAACGGAGGAGCACGAAGGUUGGCUAAUCCUGGUCGGACAUCAGGAGGUUAGUGCAAUGGCAUAAGCCAGCUUGACUGCGAGCGUGACGGCGCGAGCAGGUGCGAAAGCAGGUCAUAGUGAUCCGGUGGUUCUGAAUGGAAGGGCCAUCGCUCAACGGAUAAAAGGUACUCCGGGGAUAACAGGCUGAUACCGCCCAAGAGUUCAUAUCGACGGCGGUGUUUGGCACCUCGAUGUCGGCUCAUCACAUCCUGGGGCUGAAGUAGGUCCCAAGGGUAUGGCUGUUCGCCAUUUAAAGUGGUACGCGAGCUGGGUUUAGAACGUCGUGAGACAGUUCGGUCCCUAUCUGCCGUGGGCGCUGGAGAACUGAGGGGGGCUGCUCCUAGUACGAGAGGACCGGAGUGGACGCAUCACUGGUGUUCGGGUUGUCAUGCCAAUGGCACUGCCCGGUAGCUAAAUGCGGAAGAGAUAAGUGCUGAAAGCAUCUAAGCACGAAACUUGCCCCGAGAUGAGUUCUCCCUGAC
rnacentral:rRNA from 1 species